UAACCUGCUAAAUAGCCUGGCUAGCUUUUGCUGGUCACCGGCUUCUUAGAGGGACUAUCGGCUCAAGCCGAUGGAAGUUUGAGGCAAUAACAGGUCUGUGAUGCCCUUAGAUGUUCUGGGCCGCACGCGCGCUACACUGACAGAGCCAACGAGUAUAACCCUUAGCCGAGAGGUUUAGGUAAUCUUGUUAAACUCUGUCGUGCUGGGGAUAGGGCAUUGCAAUUAUUGCCCUUCAACGAGGAAUAUCUAGUAAGCGCAAGUCAUCAGCUUGCGUUGAUUACGUCCCUGCCCUUUGUACACACCGCCCGUCGCU
rnacentral:rRNA from 1 species